rnacentral:rRNA from 1 species
GAAAGGCGGCUUUGCUGUCACUUAUAGAUGGAUCCGCGCCGUAUUAGCUAGUUGGUAAGGUAACGGCUUACCAAGGCAACGAUACGUAGCCGACCUGAGAGGGUGAUCGGCCACACUGGAACUGAGACACGGUCCAGACUCCUACGGGAGGCAGCAGUAGGGAAUCUUCCGCAAUGGGCGAAAGCCUGACGGAGCAACGCCGCGUGAGUGAUGAAGGUCUUCGGAUCGUAAAACUCUGUUAUCAGGGAAGAACAAAUGUGUAAGUAACUGUGCACAUCUUGACGGUACCUGAUCAGAAAGCCACGGCUAACUACGUGCCAGCAGCCGCGGUAAUACGUAGGUGGCAAGCGUUAUCCGGAAUUAUUGGGCGUAAAGCGCGCGUAGGCGGUUUUUUAAGUCUGAUGUGAAAGCCCACGGCUCAACCGUGGAGGGUCAUUGGAAACUGGAAAACUUGAGUGCAGAAGAGGAAAGUGGAAUUCCAUGUGUAGCGGUGAAAUGCGCAGAGAUAUGGAGGAACACCAGUGGCGAAGGCGACUUUCUGGUCUGUAACUGACGCUGAUGUGCGAAAGCGUGGGGAUCAAACAGGAUUAGAUACCCUGGUAGUCCACGCCGUAAACGAUGAGUGCUAAGUGUUAGGGGGUUUCCGCCCCUUAGUGCUGC